rnacentral:lncRNA from 1 species
AGAAAAUAGAGAAAAUAGAAGAGAGGAAAUAGAAGAAAAAGAGAGGAAAUAGAAGAAAAAGAGAGGAAGUAGAAGACGGCGGAGGCAGAGUUAAAAAACGGGAGGCGAGCCGGAGCGUGGUGAAGCUGACCGAAAAUCGGCGCAAAUUGGCGGAAUCGGCCCCAAAACGGAGCAGCGGAGACGCCGGGGCGCGGUGAGGGCCCCCCCUCGGUUUCGGGGGGGGGUCGUGGGGGUGGCGAGGGAGGGCGCGGGGCUCUUGUCGUUGCAGGCGCCGUUUUUUUGGCCACAAAGCGCCCCAAAACUCACCGCCGCGGCGUAGAUAUUUGGGUCAAAAUGGGAAAGAAACGGUGAAAAAAAAAAAUCGGAACAAAAAAACAAAAAAAAAAGGAACAAAAAAAAAAAGGAAAAGAACAACAACAAAAAAAAGCAAAAUCAACCCAAAAUCCAGCAUCAUCACGCUCCGGCUGUAAAAUAUUGUAGGUACCGGUGUCGCCGCGCCGCAGAGUGUAAGCAACAAAAAGCGACAAAAUGGAGGAAAAAAUAACAAAAAAAGCUAAUUCCGCUGAGGAAAAUGAGCAGGAUGAGGAGAAAGAGACCCAAAAAGAGAUCCUCAGGCUCAGGAUUUAAGCAAAAAAAAGGCAAAUCCGCACCCAAAACCGCGCUCAGCCCCGCAGUGGCAGCGCUCCCAGGAGCUUUUCUGCAGGGAGAUUUUGAGGAUAAAAAGCGCAGAUUUGGUUAAUUGAGACUCGGUUCGGAAGUGCAGCCACGGCGCCCCAGCCGCAGUAAAGAGGAGCGGGCGCCCCGACCCCGCCGCCUUUUUGGGGGAAAAAAGGCCAAAAAUGGGUCUGCUGGGCGCUGGUUCCCGGCUUCUCCGCACAGCUCAGUGAAAACCGCAGGAAAAUGCCCCAAAAACGAGGACGCCCGACCCGAAAAAGGCAGAGCCCGGCAGCAAAACCUCCCAAAAACGUGUAGGAAAGGGAGAAAAAAAAAUAGGUAUUUCUGGUGGUUUGAACCCAAAAAAAAACGGGGGCGUGGAGCAUCCAGGUGGCGGUGGUGGUUUUUCGCCCAGGGAGGGUGUAAUUUUACCAAUUUAGCCCCAAUUUUGCUUGGUUUUUCCCCUCUGGAUUCACCAAGGAAAAAAAAAAGCAAAAAUAUAAAAAAAGGCCCAAAGUGCCUCAAAAUGAGCAGCUGGCGCCAGGCCCUUCCGGCAGCGGCGCUCGGCCGGAUCCCUUCAGUGGGAUUUUGAGUGGAAAACGUGGCUUUUUGGUAAACUCAGGGCUCGAGCCCUUCG